CCUACGGGCGGCAGCAGUCGAGAAUCAUUCACAAUGGGGGAAACCCUGAUGGUGCGACGCCGCGUGGGGGAAUGAAGGUCUUCGGAUUGUAAACCCCUGUCAUGUGGGAGCAAAUUAAAAAGAUAGUACCACAAGAGGAAGAGACGGCUAACUCUGUGCGAGCAGCCGCGGUAAUACAGAGGUCUCAAGCGUUGUGCGGAAUCACUGGGCGUAAAGCGUGCGUAGGCUGUUUCGUAAGUCGGGUGUGAAAGGCGAGGGCUCAACCCGCGGACGGCACAUGAUACUGCGAGACUAGAGUAAUGGAGGGGGAACCGGAAUUCGCGGUGUAGCAGUGAAAUGCGUAGAUAUCGAGAGGAACACUCGUGGCGAAGGCGGGUUCCUGGACAUUAACUGACGCUGAGGCACGAAGGCCAGGGGAGCGAAAGGGAUUAGAUACCCGAGUAGUC
rnacentral:rRNA from 1 species